UACGUAGGGUGCGAGCGUUGUCCGGAAUUAUUGGGCGUAAAGAGCUCGUAGGCGGUGUGUCACGUCGGCCGUGAAAACCUGCAGCUUAACUGUGGGCGUGCGGUCGAUACUGGCAUCACUGGAGUUCGGCAGGGGAGACUGGAAUUCCUGGUGUAGCGGUGAAAUGCGCAGAUAUCAGGAGGAACACCGGUGGCGAAGGCGGGUCUCUGGGCCGAUACUGACGCUGAGGAGCGAAAGCCAGGGGAGCAAACGGG
rnacentral:rRNA from 1 species